GGCCAGGUGGCGGAAUGGUAACGCGCGCGAGACAAAUACACAGACUCCCAUAAUGUUUCCUCGCAAGGUCUCCGUUUGAUUCGGGGUCUGGCCU